UCCCUGUCAGGAAGGUUUGCUCAAUCGGGCCGAUUGCAAAACAGACAUGGCGGCACUCGAAUUCUAGCGGUUAGAAUUCGGUUCGUUUUCGGCUCGAUUUCCAUCCGCCUGCUCGAUUGCUCGAAAACAGACGAUAUUUUUCGCAGUGCUGCGAUGAGCAAAACGAAACACGAGCAGUUUUCAAUCGCAGCAAUCCGGGUGCGUGUUUUGGUGCGUUAUUGUUGUGAAAUGUGUUGUGGGAUUUGGUCGCAGUUAGGUUUCUGCUUUUUCCGUUGUUCCUGUUCAGAAAUGCUUUGAGCGCCGUAUAGAAGAAGCCAUUGUCCGGCGAUAAUUUAAUAAUAUGUAAGAAAAUAUCGGACCAUGCGAACAAAGCUUCCAAGGAAAUGUCAACACGGUACGGGCGCUGGUGGAAUGUCAUCCUGGACAUCGUAUUAUGAUCCGGAUCCGGAUCCCGGACACGCUCAGAGGUGGUGGCUUCACUUUUAGAUCACUUAUAAUUAGUUUUUGCCGUGGUACUUCAUAGUGAAAAGCAAGAAAACAUCGACCCAUUGCAAACAAAGCUUCCAAGGAAAUGUACACACGGUAUGGGCUCUGGUGGAAUUUCAUCCCGGACAUCGUACCCGGAUCCGGAUCUCGGCUCAGAAGUGGAGGCUUAACUUGGACUACUUUUAAUCAGUUACGGUGUGAUACUUCAAAGGGGAAAGCAAGGUGAGUACUGUUGUCACAAUUCUUUACUAUUUGCUAAUUGAACUGAUCAUUUUCAAGAUUUAAGUUUUGAUUCUUGUGA